rnacentral:lncRNA from 1 species
CUCCCUCCGCCACCCAUUGGUCCCUGCCGCAUGCCACUGGCUGUCUGUUGAGCCAGCUGGAGCCGAAGGGGCCAACCGGUUUUCUUUAUUAAACGUAAGCGAAGUCCGAAAGAGCCCUGCUUUUGAUUGGAGCCAGAAGAGCCUGAAGCGAGGUCCUGUAAGGCGCCGAAGCCUCGGCAACGUGCCAUGAUAGGCUGAGGAAGUCAAACUCCUGCCUGACGCCGCUAGUGUCACCGAAGGCCGGACAACACAAGAGAAAAGUUCAUUCAUUCAUUCGUUGAACAAUUAUAUGAGCGCCUACUGUGUGCCAAGCACUGUAAAGGGUGGAUGAAAAGACAAGCUGAUAGAAUGCCAACGAAUAGAAGUGAAAGGAAUGAUGGAGUUAGAAAAUCACCAUUUUCCAAAAUCAGUACAUGGUGGCGCGUGACUACAGUACCAGCUACUGGGGAGGCUGAGGUGGAAGGAUCACCUGAGUUCAGGAGGUUGAGGCUGCAGUGAGCUGAAGGCGCGCCAUUGCACUCCAGCCUGGGCGACGAGAGUGAGACCAUAUCUCAAAACAACAACAAAAAAAGUAAAAUCAUAAAAGAUAUUCAGAGACAGACGUCAGGGUUGCAUGUGCAACCCUGAUUCAGAAGCAGCAAUAGAUGUCAAAACAACUGGGUGAAAGUUGGAUGAGGAGCAAGAUAUUUACAUAUAGGGUUGCCAGAUCUAGCAAAUAAAAACACAAGAUGCCCAAUCAAAUCAGAAUUUUAGAUAAACACUUUGGGAGGUCAUAUUUAUACUUUAUUUAUGGCUUAUCUGGAAUUCAGAUUCAACUGGGCUUCCUGUAUUUUUUCCCGCAAACUUUUUGCAUAGUCUCAAAGUAUCUCUCCCGCAAGGAAACUUAAGGAGGGCAGGGCGCGGUGGCUCACGCCUGUAAUCCCCAGCACUUUGGGAGGUCAAGGCAGACGGAUCACCUGAGGCCAGGAGUUCGAGACCAACCUGGCCAAUGUGUUGAAACCCCCGUCUCUACUAAAAACACAAAAAAUUAUCUGAGCAUCGUGGCGGACGCUGUAAUCCCAGCUACUGGGGAGACUGAGGCAUGAGAAUCGCUUGAAUCUGGGAGGCAGAGGUUGCAGGGAGCCGAGACUGUGCCACUGCACUUCACCCUGGGCAACAAAAAGACUCUGUCUCAAAACACAAAACAAACAAACAAACAAAGAACAGGGGAAACCAAUCCUGUCAACACCUUGACCUUUACUUCUAGCCUCCAGGAAGGAAAGGAAAAUGGUAAAUUUACAGUGAAGAAACAUGACAGUUACUGCUUCAACCACGUGAUCAAAGUUAGCACCACCCAGUAAGGGAACACACAUAUGUGCCUUCUGAUAGGAUCCAUUGAGGAGACACAUCACUUCGUAGCUCUUAACAAGUCUGUAAAUUUAAUAAGGUGAUUUUCCUAAACCAAUGAGUCUCCUAAAAACGGUUACAGAUUCCUCAUUUCACAUUGAGAAGAAAGAUCACAGACCUAGAAUGUUAAAACUGUCCAGGAAAAAAAACAGUUGUAAAGCUUUGGAACACACUAGUAGAUCUUAAUCUAUUCACAAGGAAAUAUCAGACAAGCCCAAAGUGAGAGAUAUUCUACAAGAUAAAUUGCUUGUACUCUUGACAGCUCCAAGGCCAUGAAAGACAAAGAAUGAGAAACUGGUUCUCCAUUAAAGGAGCCUAGACAUGACAGCUAAAUGCUGUUUGAUUCUGGAUUGGAUUCUGGACCCAAAACUUUUUGUCUUUCUUUUUUUCUCUUUCUUGCUUCUUUUUUUCUCUCUUUUGCUAUAGAUGACAUUAUAGGACAAUUGGCAAAAUAUGAAUAAAGUCUGCAACUAGCUAAUAGC